GACGAACGCUGGCGGCGUGCUUAACACAUGCAAGUCGAACGGAAAGGCCCUGCUUUUGUGGGGUGCUCGAGUGGCGAACGGGUGAGUAACACGUGAGUAACCUGCCCUUGACUUUGGGAUAACUUCAGGAAACUGGGGCUAAUACCGGAUAGGAGCUCCUGCUGCAUGGUGGGGGUUGGACUGUUUCGGCGGUUGGGGAUGGACUCGCGGCUUAUCAGCUUGUUGGUGGGGUAGUGGCUUACCAAGGCUUUGACGGGUAGCCGGCCUGAGAGGGUGACCGGCCACAUUGGGACUGAGAUACGGCCCAGACUCCUACGGGAGGCAGCAGUGGGGAAUAUAGCACAAUGGGCGGAAGCCUGAUGCAGCAACGCCGCGUGCGGGAUGACGGCCUUCGGGUUGUAAACCGCUUUCGCCUGUGACGAAGCGUGAGUGACGGUAAUGGGUAAAGAAGCACCGGCUAACUACGUG
rnacentral:rRNA from 1 species